AAAUUCGCCCCGUAAGCAGCGGCGUCGAGAACGCCCGGCUGCUCUGGGGCGGAGCGUCCUGCAGAUGGCUGCGGUGGCGGCAUCAGGGCCUGGCUGGUGCGUUCCGGACGCAAGGACCCGGCAGGGCACGGCCAAGAUGGGAAAACUAAGGGAAAGUGACCGGCUCAAGGCCCCCCGCAGACUGGCUGCUGAGAUGCUCCUUUCCUUCAUCACUGCAGGGAGUGGAGGGAGGUGGCAGGAACGGGGGAAACUUCACAAGCACUGUCCUACACCAGCUUGCUUUCAUCCUCGCCACACUCGUCC